CAUUGGACAAUUCUGGUAGAAUCAUGGGGAAACCAGGAGGCUAACAGAAAUUUAGGCAGUGAAGUCUGGCUCUCCAAGUUUUGGCUGGCAACUGGACUACGGGCCAUUCAUGGAACAUUCUAGAAAAGAACGCAGCUGCAUUCUGCAGCAUCCUGAGAAUUUGAGUGAGGCUAAAUUUGAACGUAAUGGACUAAUUUGUUCUGGGGAAGGAAUUUUAAGGCUUUACAGCAUCUGGGCUGAAGUGUGGUUACUACUGACUACGCUGCUCUGCUCUCAAGUAUCCAGUGAGAGAGAGGAGGCAGAGCAGAAAGGUAUUAAAAAAUGUAGUUUGGUAGGAAAAGGAGUGUUAACAAAGUGAAAGUUGCAGACAUGGCAGAUGUGGGAAAAACAAGUGUUUAACGGUUAGAGAUUAUUACAGAGGAACCUCCCACUCCUCACUGGGUGUGUCUGAGUUAGAGUUAACUGAGCAUCAGAGGUGCGAUGUCAUGAUUAAAACUGAUAUGCUCGGGUAUCAAGCUGAGAAAGGGCAGAAGGAUGAUUGUUAGUCUGAAUCAUUAACUUCGAAGUCCUGAGAAUCACCUAGGAGACACACCUCUAGACGCCUGUGAGGCCACUUCCUAGGAGGUAAACUGAAGAGGAGAGGCGAUCCACCCCUAACACAGGCGGCAGCAUCUCAUGAACUACAGGCUGGGAUGGAGAACAAGGAAGCCAGAUGAUGAGUUUGUGAAAUGAGGAAGAAAAAAGCCAUUCCCAAGAUCUGGUGACAGGAGCUUCCGGCAACGACCCUGACCCCUAUCGUCAUAUAAGAGUACUCCUUUCAUCUGUGAACAAAGAAUUUAACCUAACUGGCACCUCAUUUACUACAUGCCAAGAACAAGCCAAAUCAGCCUUUCAAGUGGCUUUUUUCCUGUAAGCUUUACUUCUAGGAGUCAAAGGAACCCCAGGAAACCAAAAACUUAACUGACAUCUACAAAGCGUAAAGGCUUUCUUUCUGGGCAUUUCAAAGGGACUUCUGAACUGUACAGGCUCCAUGGACCUCACCUCCACG